GCUUAAAGARAUUUUAUUUUAAGUGUGUCCUGCUCAAUGAAAAAUUUARAUAGCUGCAGUAAAUUGMCUGUACUAAGGUAGCAUAAUAAUUUGUCUUUUAAUUGAAGACUGGAAUGAAAGGUUGAACAUAAAAGAAACUGUCUUUUAUUUAUUUUUGAAAUUAAUAUUUUUGUAAAAAAGCUAAAAUUCAAUAAAGGGACGAAAAGACCCUAUCAAGUUUUAUACCUAAAUUAAUUAAUUGAUUAGUUUAUGUAUUUGUUUGGGGCGAACUAAAAAUAAAUAACUUUUUUUAAUUUAAUAAUUUAAUUAUUUAUUUAUAUUCUAUAAUUUAUAGAAACUUAAAUUACUGUAGGGGUAACAGCAUAAUUUUUUUUAUGWGUACUAAUUAUAAAAAAAGUUUAUGACCUCGAUGUGGGGUUAAUUUUACCUUUAAAAUGAAUAAGUUUAAAAGGUACGUCUGUUCGACGGUUAAAAUAUUACA
rnacentral:rRNA from 1 species